GAGGCUUCUGAGCUGCCACUUCUCCUUUCUGCCGGGAUCUGACAGAGACACAGUGGCCUGCUCUAGACCCAGCUCUCGACUCUCCUGAGAGGAGGAACGGCCCGUGAUUCCCAGUCAGGACAAUGGUUUACUGUGGCUCUUUGUGUCCAGGAAGAACCCUGCAUCGGAAAGAAGAUGGUGGAGGUACUGACUGUGGUACCUCUUGCUUCCGAGAGAACUUGGACAAGUCAUGUAAC